AAGCCAUGCAUGCCCGCUCACCCGGGACGCGGCGGACGGCUCAGGACAACGGUUGCACCCCCCGCGGCGGUCCCUGCUAGCCGGACACCGCUGGCAACCCGGCGCCAAGACGUGCGCGCAAGGGCGGGCGCCCGCGGGCGAGCAGCGUGACGCAGCGACGGCCCGCCCGGGCUUCCGGGGCAUCACCCGGUCGGCGCGGUCGCGGCGCGCCGAGGGCCCGACGCCUGGCGGAGAA
rnacentral:rRNA from 1 species